UACGUAGGGUGCAAGCGUUAAUCGGAAUUACUGGGCGUAAAGCGUGCGCAGGCGGUGAUGUAAGACAGAUGUGAAAUCCCCGGGCUCAACCUGGGAACUGCAUUUGUGACUGCAUCGCUGGAGUACGGCAGAGGGGGAUGGAAUUCCGCGUGUAGCAGUGAAAUGCGUAGAUAUGCGGAGGAACACCGAUGGCGAAGGCAAUCCCCUGGGCCUGUACUGACGCUCAUGCACGAAAGCGUGGGGAGCAAACAGG
rnacentral:rRNA from 2 species